rnacentral:misc_RNA from 1 species
GAUAUGCGAUAAGUAAUGUGAAUUGCAGAAUUCAGUGAAUCAUCGAAUCUUUGAACGCACAUUGCGCCCGUCAGCAUUCUGGCGGGCAUGCCUGUUCGAGCGUCAUUUCAACCCUCAGGACCCCCCUUUCGCGGGGAGGGACCUGGCGUUGGGGAUCGGCCCGCCCCCGCGGCGGCGCCGUCCCCGAAAUCUAGUGGCGGUCUCGCUGCAGCCCCCCCUGCGUAGUAGUUACAACCUCGCAUCGGAGCGCGGCGCGGCCACGCCGUAAAACCCCCGACUUUCUGAACGUUGACCUCGGAUCAGGUAGGAAUACCCGCUGAACUUAAGC